GAAAGGGGGGGGCAACCCUCCUGAGUAGAGCGGCGCACGGGUGAGUAACGCGUGGGUAACCUACCCCUCGGCGGGGGAUAACUACUCGAAAGGGUGGCUAAUACCGCAUGAGACCACGGGGUCUUCGGAUCCUGAGGCCAAAGGCCGCGUCGGCUUGCCGGCGCAGUCACCGGGGGAUGGGCCCGCGUCCGAUUAGCUAGUUGGCGAGGUAACGGCUCACCAAGGCAAUGAUGGGUAGCCGGCCUGAGAGGGUGUACGGCCACACUGGAACUGACUCACGGUCCAGACGAAUACGGGAGGCAGCAUUGUG
rnacentral:sRNA from 1 species